CGCCUCAGCCAUGUGCCGGGACACGUCAAUCAAUUCGUUUCCUGUGUCCGCAAACGCAAACAACAACGUACUAUUCAACGUAAAAAAGAUGUUGAGCACAUAUAGCAUCUGGCGUGUCGGGAGACGAUGCUGACGUUCCCAUGACAACAACAUCGCUCUCCCUAAAAGCUGCAUUCAACGAAAUGGGCGUGACCACAAACGACAAUGGGUCCUAAUUACCGUUAUAAACGAGUAUGAGGUUUGGGUUUGGACGAUGAAGGAAUAGUACAGAAAGCGAAUUCACGAUAUCCCAUUCAUCAGAAGGUCGUCAACGGAAGAUGACAUGAAACCGGGGACCACGUCCAGCAAUCCUCCUCGUUUCCUCCCCACUAAAGACAGCGGGAUGCGGUCGCUUCAGCAGGUCACAAUCAGUCCGACGGUUCAACGGCCUACACCUUGUACCCUACUGCGUCUUCUGGAUGCGAAGGACCAUAGGGCAUGUGGAGGCACUAUGAGCUGGCUCCCCUCUUCUUUGUGCUCCGUUGUCUCUCUCCCCAUGUGCUGGGAGUCCCCACUUCCAUGGUACGACGAUAUUCGGAGCAGAAGACGAUGAAUGGUGGAUGGUGGUAGUGAGCCGCCGCCUCCCUGGUGGGAUAUCUUUUCCCGAGUGUUUUGGUGGAGAUGUGAGAAUGUCCGGCGAAGGACGCACGCGUCGGCUCGGUGCUGCCCCCCUGUGGACACCACGUGGAACUGUGCCCUUUGCGCGUCCCCGCCCCAUCCGCGCGCACACGCUCAGAGCAACGUGCACGUUUACUCUUCCUUGACUGAAAACACUGAAAAGCAUCUUCGGAAAAUUCUCGAUAAAUAUCUACAUUAUUUCUUCGCCGUACAAAACCCUUAAAUAAUUUAACAUAAUUUAAAGAUAUAGGAAUAAUUUGAAUAUGGAGUAAUAAUGCCAUUAGGAUAGGUCUAUAUUUGACCAUAAUGAGAAUAUUUAAUAGGUCAAUUUACAUUGAGCUAAACUGGAAAAUAAGUAUAAUGUUUGUUAGCAUUAAGGGAUUUCUGUCAUUUUCUCAACAUUUUUAUUAUUUUACUUCUACCAAAAAAAUAUUUGGAGGUGGGAAUGAAUCAAAUAUGACGUUUGUUCAUGCAGAUCUGUGAUCUUUUUAUCGUAUAAAAAUAAAAAAUCGAUAAAAAAUAUAUAGAAAUAUCGGAUCAUAUCCACGCAUACUCUGAAAACCUUCAAGAAGCGCUUGUUUAUUUGCAUUUGCAUGUUCGUCGUGUGAAGAAGUCAUGUUUCUGAAUGGAAGCAUUAGAAGCAGUGUUGACCAGUAAAAAUACCUCCAGGUUUCUCUGGUGUUAUUAGCUGAGAUUGGACGACGGAAGAGCACAUCAGAAGUUAAGUUACAGUGCAAAGGUCAUCUCUCUCGUCCAGACAUGCCUUCAGGUAGAAAACGGAUUUGGGAACAAUUUACAAUAUCAAGUUACUGAACAACUUAAUAGGCGCUUGGUUGAGUUUCCCGCUGCCUUGCCCGUCUGCCUUCGAGGCUAUUCAAGUGCCUGGUAAAAAAAACAAACAAA